AUCCAGAGAGGAAACAUCGGGGCUGUACCCGUGGACUCAAGGACUCAGCUCUGCCCUGCGGUGGGCACGCAGAUGGACAUAGCCUCGACGGGUGGACGUGGUUGUGGGCGCGUGACAUGCUGGAUCAUGACACGCCAACGUGGAAGUCCUUGACGGUGAGAACCUGGAGCCAUCGUCGCCGGGUGAGACGGAAGGGACACCGCCAUGCUUUGCGCGCGGCAGUUUCAAGGCGCAGAAGGCAAACGGGAUGCCCACGUGAAACCAUGCUGCAGCAGUGCCCGCAAAUGUGCCCGGGCUCGCACAGGAUUCCGACGUGGCAAGUCCCAGAGGAGCCAGAGACACACAGAAUGAGGUUUCUCCUGAGCAGGAAGCGUGCCCGUGAGCAACCAGCUGAGAAGUCGACCCAUCACGUGUGAAANAGGGAGCGAUCCAGGUUCCCUGCCCAGCGGGUGCUCUGCCUCCCUAGUUCCGGAGGCUGGACUUUCAAGACCUGCUGAGAGCCAUCUUCCUGGUUCAUCAAUGGACAUUCUCUCCAUCAGGACGGAGACAAGACAGUUCCUUCUUACCCGUGAGAGAUACAUGUAUUGUCCAUGACUCCGCAGGAAAUUGAUUUCCCGAACCCGAUGCAGAGAUGGGGAAGGGGGGAGCCAAAAGAAGGGUUUGCUGUCCAGCUUUGGCGCCGGAGGAAAAGUCAGCCCCCAGAAGCUAAGCACUGAGAAGUCCAGUCUUCCACAUCCAGGGGUUUCCAGAUUCCCACUCGUGUAAGAAAUGCAGCGUGAUGUCCCAGUUUUCGUGUUUUUCUUGAGAUGUGGUCCUCUUGGAGGAGCUUCCCCUGCCAGGAUGGAAUUUCAGAGCUCUCGGCUCGAGAAGAAGGGAAAUGCCCCAAACAGCCACCCCCCAGCCCCCUUGUGGCCACUGAGAAGUUGGGGAGGAUGCAGCCACAAAGGAGGAUGUGAAAAGUAGGCGCGAUUGCAAGGCACGAAUCUCGGAAUCUUCGUGUUUCAUCAGGAAGGCAGAGGAGGAAGGAAUCUGCGAGGUGCAGCCGCCUCUUCUGACCUCAGGAUGGACGGAGAGGGCGUGAAGGACCCGUCAGUGACCAGCUGUUGCACAGAGAGCCCAGGGGAAGGGGGUGCCCUGGCGGGCACAUGGGAACCGAUGCUGCGGCUCACGAGAAGUUGGAGGAACAAACUGCUUUGUCCCAGGAGAAGAGGAGCAGGAUGGAACGGACGCCCGCUGUAAUCGUGGGCGGAACCGGAGGGACGGAUGCAACGCUUGGCGCUUCCGAUUCUGACAUUGGCUGACGUCACGGGAGAUGGAUGGGGGAGGGUCCAGAUGUUUCGAUGAGGAAACGGAGGCCACUAAGUGUUGUGUAACGUCCCAAGGGGACCCAGCUCUGAAGCGGUGGAGUCAGAAUGGAUUGCUUAACAGCCACCCCCACCCUCGGCUCGGAAGACGUCCACACCCAGGUAUGAAAAUGCCCUGUGGGAGUGUCUGUUGCUGCUCAGUGGGUUAAGAACCCAACAUAGCGUCCGUCCAAGGGAUGCGGGUUUGAUCCCUGGCCUCCCUUGGCGAAUUAAGGAUCUGGUGUUGCUACAGGCUGUGGUGUAGGUCACAGGUGCGUCUCGGAGCCUGUGUUGCGGUGGCUGUGGUGUAGACUGGCAGCUGCAGCACUGAUUCGACCCCUAGCUCGGGAACUUCCAUGUGCUGCGGGGGCGGCCCUGAAAACAAAAUAAAAAAGAAAGAAAGCAAAUGCCCUGUGGAAUGACCGCAUGAUAGUGACACAGUCUCGUGGCCUUUCUCUUGGGAACAGGCACACCUCUUUCCGAGCCACCUAAGUUCCUGCCUCUUGACUUUCUAGACACCCUUAACUGUUUAAAGGGGGGAGAACAAAAGAAGACAAAGCAAAUGCUCCUUUUUUGGGUCCUUUUUAAAACGUUUAUUGACAUAGAGCUGAUUUAUCAGCUUGUGAUCAUCUCCGCAAUACAACAAACUCACGAGCUCUUGUUAUUUGUAGACUUUUUGAUGAUGGCCAUUCUGACUGGUGCAAGGUGGUCCCUCAGUGUAACUUUGAUUCGCAUUUCUCUAAUAAUAAGCGGUGGGGAGCAUCCUUUCAUGUGCUUGUUGUUCUUUGGAGAAAGGUCUGUUCAGGUCUUCUGCCCAUCUUUUGAUUGGGUUGUUUGGCUUUUUUGAUAUCGAGCUUCACGGGUUGUUUGUGCCUUUUGGAGAUUAGUCCCUUGUGUGUCACUUCAUUUGCAAAUGUUUUCAGCCAUUUUGUGAGUGGCCUUUUUGUUUCGUCUGAUUUCCUUGGCUGUGCAAAUGUGUUUAAGUUUAUUUAGGUCCCAUGUGUUUCUGUUUUUAUUUUCAUUACUCUAAGCAGUGGAUCCAAAAAGAAAUUGCUGCAGAUUAUGUCAAAGAAUGUUCUGCCUCUCUUCUCCUCCAGGAGUUUAAUCAUAUCUGGUCUUACAUUUAGGUCUUUAAUCCAUUUUGAGUUUAUUUUCCUGUAUGAUAUUAGAGAAAGCUGGGAGUUCCUGUCGGGGUGCAGUGGAACUGAAUCCGACUAGGAACCGUGAGGUUGCAGAUUCGAUCCCUGGCCUCGCUCAGUGGGUUAAGGAUCUGGUGUGGCCGUGAGCUGUGGUGUAGGUCGCAGACAUGGCUUGGAUCUGGCAUUGCUGUGACUCUGGCAUAGGAGGGCAGCUAUACCUCCAAUUAGACCCAUAGCCUGGGAACCUCCAUGUGCUGCGGUGCGGUCCUAAAAAGACGGAAAGACAGAGAAUGCUAUCAUUUCAUUCUUUUGCAUGGAGCUGUCCAGUUUUCCCAGCACCACUUAUUGAAGAGCCUGUCUUUUCUCCAUUGUAUAUUCUUGCCUCCUUUGUCAUAAAUUAAUUGUCCGUAGGUGUGCGGGUUUAUCCUGUUCCAUUAAUCCACAUUUCUGAUUUGCGUCAGUGCCAUACUGUUUUGAUGACUCUAGUUUUGUGAUAUAAUCUGAUGUCAGGGAGCCUGAUUCCCCCGGUUCUGUUUCUUUUUCAGGAUGGCUUUGGCUGUUUGGGCUCUUAUGUGUUUCCAUAUAAAUUUAAAAAUAUUUUGUUCUAGUUCUGUUAAAAAAUGUCAAGGCAAUCUACAGUCUCAAUUCAUUAGUUUCUUAGAUCCGAGGCACAGGUCCAUAAAUGCCUAACAACAGAGACAGACCAGCAAAAUGUUCAUGCAGUUUAGAUUCUGAGAACUUGACUUGUGUUUUUAUUCUAGGUUUUGAUUCAUAUUUUUUCAAAAAAUCAGAGUUUAGAAUUUGUGACAAGUUGGCAGAGUUCUGUUGUGGCUCAGUGUGUUACGAAUCUGACUAGUAUCCCUGAGGACACAGGUUCAAUCCCUGGCCUUGCUCAGUGGGUCAAGGAUCCUGCAUUGCCAUGAGCUGUGGUGUAGGUCACAGAUGCUCUCUGGAUCUGGCGUUGCUGUGGUUAGUAUAGGCUGGCAGCUGCAGCUCUGAUUCAGCCUAUGAACGUCCAUGUGCUGAGGGUGCAGCCCUAGGGGAAAAAAAAAAAGAAUUUGGGACAAGUCGGGAUGGGUCAUGAAGGAAAAGACCCCACAGUCUAUAUCUAGCACACAGCAGGGUUGCCAUGCAGAAGACAGCAUUGUCAGCAUAGAGAUUCAGUUAAAAAAUGGAGGUUUUGAGAAACUCUCUCUCUGCUCACUCAGGAGUGUUAUCCUGAGACAGAUCCCAAAG
rnacentral:lncRNA from 1 species